UCACUCCGAGACCCUCAUCCUGGCUGCAGAACCUGGAUCUGGCCCGGCCCUGCGCUCAGUCAGGCCUGGACAGGGCAGGGUGGUGAGAACACUGGGGGGAACAGGAGCCUGUCCUCUCCUCAAAGACCUCUUGCUGAGAAGGCCAACCCCAAACCAGCCCUCAUCAGGGCCAUGAGUGUGGCAAAGGCAACUCUGGGGGUGCUGGGGGGAAUCACAGGCUGAGGGGUGUGUUAGGGUGCCUGGUGUUCGAACCCCGCACCCAGCAGAGGUGGGCAGUGAGGCACACAGCAGGCUCUCAUUACAGGCUGGGGGCCCUUUCCUUCCUCUCUGCAGGGGCCCCUGUGACCUGGGCUCCCUUCUCCAGGCCACUGCUCCCACCUGCGCCUGAGGCCUGCUCUGGGGAGCACAAGGGCAGCGAGGGUAUGGAGUGGGUGCUUGCCCGUCAUCUCCACCUUCUUUGCUCAGCACUGGGGCUGGCACGUGGCAGAUGCUCAGUGCUGGUGAACAAACACCUCUUCAGGACUGUCAGUGCAGGGCUCCCUGUUGCCUUGGAGGUGAAAAAAUAAAACUCAAUGCCCCUGUGGCCCGGCACCCUAGGACCUGUGAAGCAAAUUCCACCUGAAGGGAGAAAGCAGGGCAUGGCUGCAGCCCAUGGGGCCAGCCUAGCCGAUGCUGACUCUCCACUGAAAACAGCACACCGGGAACCUUAUCCAGAAAAAUACACUCUGGCAAACCAAAAUGCGUUUGUGAGAUGAGAAACCGCAACUGCCUUUUAGAAUGUCCCCGAAUAUUUGAAGUGAGACAGUGUCCUCCCAACCAUCUUCCCCAACUCUCCACAGAAGAUUAACAUGCCCAGGAAAAGAAGGCCGACUCCUGAAACAGCACAAACCAAAAUCUUGCCCUGCACCAGGAACAACAAUUCUGCCCAACCAGUUGCCUGGCAUUUUGUAAUCAGUAUAAUGAACUCCAACCCAUGUUCCCCCCAAACAUGUCAGGAAGGGCUGCGGAAAAAAGAUGUCCCUUUAAUAAAACGUUAUCAACAUAUAUCGUACACAAACUACAAUGUAUCAUAAUUACUUUUUUUUCCUCUCUUAAUUCAGAACCAGACUACAAGGUAAGAAAAAACACAGAAACAGCUACAAUGUUCCCAAUAAUCCGCACAAGGUCUUUUUUCAGGCAGAUGAUAUCUCACAUAAUAUGAUAUACAUGGAUCAGAAAGGGAGGGACGAAAACAAAGACCAGCUACAGGGGGGGAGGAGGAGGAGGAGGGGUGUAAAUGUACAAAGAAUUCUGGUGUCUUCAGGGCAAGACACAGAGGUUUCGAUGGGGGGUGGUGAGGUGAGGGAGGCCACAAGUCACCCCUCCUGGGAGGGGACAGGCUCCACUGUCGCAUUUGUUGGUUUUUGAAAAUAAAAACAGGACCGGGAACAGCACAUCUGUUUGGUUGCUGGCGUCCCCCCUGCCCCCCCACAGCUAUUCCAAAGUCUCUCUGUCCAGUUCCAAGCGCACACAGAGCAACUCUGGUCAAUAUCCCAUUUUUGAAAACGAAGAAUCAAGAGGGGAAAAAACGGAAAACCCAAACCCCAGCCCUCCACUGCCCGCACACAGGAGGCCGACCAGUCGAGGAAUGAGAACGCGGAGGCCACCGUUUCCAUGUCCCAGGUCACAGCCAUCCUGUCGGGGCGGCCUCCCCCACUCCGCUCCAGGCCACCACCCUGCUGGCAGGAUUCUCACUGGGAAGACUGGGGUGGGGGCUGAGGAGGGGGCUGGAGGGCGGGAUGCUGGGCGGGGAGAGGUCCAGAAGAGAGAGGAAGCAGUCCUGGGAACAGUGCAUGCCACUGGGUCGCAGCACAGCUCCGCUGGGGCGGGAUCCUGAAAGCGGUCGGUGGUCUGGCCCCUCUGGCCACGUAACGGGGGAGGGGGUCUGGGGUCGAAGCUGUGCAGCUGCUGUCGCCACCUCGCCAGGAGACCAAGCAGAAACAAGACAGGUUCCUGCCCUUCCCUUGCCCGUCAGCACAAACCAAAAACCCCAAGUGGAAAAGGAUGACUCCUUUUUUCUUUCCCAAAAAGGCCGUUUGAAAGAAACCACCGAUUGUAAACUGCCCAGUUUAUUAUAAUUAUUAUUAUUAUUUUUAGAUGGCUACAAAGACAGGUGAGAUCUCACACCUAGACUAGCUUUCCUGGUGGAAGGGCUUGGGUACAGACAGACAACAGGGCUUGGGUUUUUGUUUUUUGUUUUUCGUUUUUUGCUUUUUUUUGUCCUUUUUUUUUUUUUUAAAGAAGAAAGCAAAGAGGUUGAUUGGGGUGGGGGGG